rnacentral:rRNA from 1 species
UACGUAGGGUGCGAGCGUUGUCCGGAAUUAUUGGGCGUAAAGGGCUCGUAGGCGGUUUGUUGCGUCGGGGGUGAAAACUCAGGGCUUAACCCUGAGCCUGCUUCCGAUACGGGCAGACUAGAGGUAUGCAGGGGAGAACGGAAUUCCUGGUGUAGCGGUGAAAUGCGCAGAUAUCAGGAGGAACACCGGUGGCGAAGGCGGUUCUCUGGGCAGUACCUGACGCUGAGGAGCGAAAGUGUGGGGAGCAAACAGG